CUUUCAAGGGACGGCGGAAACACUGGACUGAUUUCAGCAGUGCACACGUUGAGUUCCAUGACAUUUUACAAAGUAAUCUACACUGAAACGCAGGAGACGGAGGUUCAAGAAUAGUCCCUCUUUUUGUGAUCGCAGCCAUAUCGGCAUGCUGAAAUCCUCCACUGUGCCGUCAGCAACAGGCAAAUGGCGCUGACAGCCACUCAGAGCCUGAAAAUAUAUCUAGGCCUCAGCCAAGUGAAGGCAACGUGUUCUGACACUGACUGAAGUCCUCCUUUGGAUGCAGACAGCAAAAUACGUGCAUGCAGACUGUGUGCAGCCCCACGGUGAAUUCAUGGCAACAAGUUCUUGCAGAAUACACAAAGAAGACUGUGGGAGCUGCGGCUCAUAAUUAAAGCAUUUUUCUUUUCUUUUCUUUUCUUUUUUUUUUUUUUGUUUCACAGUAACAAAACAUUAACUUGCUUUUAUUAAUUAGAAAUGGCACAGCAAGGAACAGACAUUAAUUGUAGAAUUGUAGAAAAUGAUCCUCUCAACUGCUCCAGACCGUGAUAAAUUUUGUGGCGCGCAGAGGAACACUUCACCCCUGGCUGAGUCUGACUCACCUGAAUUUGCAUCCUGUCGACCGAGGUGCAGCGAAGAAACAAACUUCUUUCUGGAGCAGCUCUCCACGGUGUCCUUGCAGCUGCUGUAGUAUUGGGGAACACCUCACGUUUGGGAGUUUGGUAAAGUAAGACACAGAGAUAAUAGCGGAAGGUCACCUGCUGAUUAAAUAGUUCUCAUGUGCCUCUGCAAACUGCAAAUAAAAGCAUCGCUGACACCGUAGAGGGCAAUGAAGGAAAUUAAAAACACUCAGAAAUGAAGGACAUUCAACUAAACUAAUUAGUGCUUAGCAAAUAUUGGCAUCCUGCCAGCAUUUGGUGAAAAAAGGGAAAGGUGUGUAUGUGUGCUAUGAAAAAUGUCUUUCACAGAGGUGUGUAUGAACUACAAGACGUAAUGUUCAGUGUAAGUGUGUACAUAUCACACACUUCCAUUAUGUUUUUAAAUUAAAACCCAACAAAAGUGAAUGUGAAACUUUGUGAAAUGUAACCAAAUACUGCGACCUUGAUUGCAGAUGGAGAGAUUGUAAACAAACUAUUAGCAAGUUUGUCAUUAAUUGUAGCGUACUGUAAUUGUGUUAAUUCUCUGUUGCAGUGACACUGGGGAUGGUUGUUUAAAUGAUAAGUUUGUGCAUUGAAUAUUAUGAUAUGUAGGUGUUCAGUGUUUACUUUUGUGGCAUGUCAGUUG